GACGAACGCUGGCGGCGUGCUUAACACAUGCAAGUCGAGCGAUGAAGCACCUUCGGGUGUGAAUUAGCGGCGAACGGGUGAGGAACACGUGAGAAAUCUGCCUUCAACACUGGGAUAACUCCGGGAAACCGGGGCUAAUACCGGAUAUGAAACCUGCGGGCAUCCGCGGGUUUGGAAAGUUUUUCGGUUGAAGAUGAUCUCGCGGCCUAUCAGCUUGUUGGUGAGGUAAUGGCUCACCAAGGUGACGACGGGUAGCCGGCCUGAGAGGGCGACCGGCCACACUGGGACUGAGACACGGCCCAGACUCCUACGGGAGGCAGCAGUGGGGAAUAUUGGGCAAUGGAGGAAACUCUGACCCAGCGACGCCGCGUGCGGGAUGAAGGCCUUCGGGUUGUAAACCGCUUUCAGCAGGGAAGAAGCGAAAGUGACGGUACCUGCAGAAGAAGCACCGGCUAACUACGUGCCAGCCGCCGCAGUAA
rnacentral:rRNA from 1 species